UCCGCCGGGGUACUACGAGCGCUAGCUUAAAACCCAAGGGACUUGACGGUGUCUCAGACCCACCUAGAGGAGCCUGUUCUAGAACCGAUAAUCCUCGUUAAACCUCACCACCCCUUGUUCACUCCGCCUAUAUACCGCCGUCGCAAGCUUACCCUGUGAAGGAGCCAUAGUAAGCAAAAUGGGUAAAACCCAGAACGUCAGGUCGAGGUGUAGCNNAUGGGGUGGGAAGAAAUGGGCUACAUUUUCUGAAACAGAAAAUCACGAACGACACCAUGAAAACUAGUGUCUGAAGGUGGAUUUAGUAGUAAAAA
rnacentral:rRNA from 1 species